rnacentral:lncRNA from 1 species
UUUUCCCCCAACAAAAAAAAAAAGAUCAUUGAGAAGACAAGAUCCCAAUACCAGUUUUCAGGUCUAAUAAAGUGCUAAAGUAGGCUUUUCUUAAUAUAAAAAUAACCUGUAAUCAAUCAUGGGCCACCCUUUUGUUAUUCCACGAACUAUGAACAGGUUACAUUAUGUUUGCUAGCUUUCACAUUUAUAUCAAAAAUAUCCACUGCAAGAUGACGACCACUGUUGCUACCACGCC